rnacentral:SRP_RNA from 1 species
UGAGGCAGGAGAAUUGCUUGAACCUGGGAGGCAGAGGUUGCAGUGAGCCGAGAUCGUGCCAUUGCACUCCAGCCUGGGCAACGAGAGUGAAACUCCAUCUCAAAAAAAUAUAUAUAUAUAUAUAUUUGGUGGCUGUUUUUUUUGUUUUUUGUUUUUUUUUGAGACAAAGUCUCACUCUGUCACCCAGGCUGAAGGUGCAGUCUUGGCUCACUGCAACCUGCGCCUCCCAGAUUCAAGCAAUUCUCCUGCCUCAGCCUCCCAAGUAACUGGGAUUACAGGCACGCACCACCGCGCCUGGC